AACGAACGCUGGCGGCAGGCUUAACACAUGCAAGUCGAGCGCCCCGCAAGGGGAGCGGCAGACGGGUGAGUAACGCGUGGGAACAUACCCUUUCCUGCGGAAUAGCUCCGGGAAACUGGAAUUAAUACCGCAUACGCCCUACGGGGGAAAGAUUUAUCGGGGAAGGAUUGGCCCGCGUUGGAUUAGCUAGUUGGUGGGGUAAAGGCCUACCAAGGCGACGAUCCAUAGCUGGUCUGAGAGGAUGAUCAGCCACAUUGGGACUGAGACACGGCCCAAACUCCUACGGGAGGCAGCAGUGGGGAAUAUUGGACAAUGGGCGCAAGCCUGAUCCAGCCAUGCCGCGUGAGUGAUGAAGGCCUUAGGGUUGUAAAGCUCUUUCACCGGAGAAGAUAAUGACGGUAUCCGGAGAAGAAGCCCCGGCUAACUUCGUGCCAGCCGCCGCCGUAACAC
rnacentral:rRNA from 1 species